rnacentral:rRNA from 1 species
GACGAACGCUGGCGGCGCGCCUAACACAUGCAAGUCGAACGGAGCUGAGAGAAGCUUGCUUUUCUUAGCUUAGUGGCGAACGGGUGAGUAACGCGCGAGUAACCUGCCCUGGAGUGGGGGACAACAGUUGGAAACGACUGCUAAUACCGCAUAAGCCCACGAUCCGGCAUCGGAUUGAGGGAAAAGGAUUUAUUCGCUUCAGGAUGGACUCGCGUCCAAUUAGCUAGUUGGUGAGGUAACGGCCCACCAAGGCGACGAUUGGUAGCCGGACUGAGAGGUUGAACGGCCACAUUGGGACUGAGACACGGCCCAGACUCCUACGGGAGGCAGCAGUGGGGGAUAUUGCACAAUGGGGGAAACCCUGAUGCAGCGACGCCGCGUGGAGGAAGAAGGUUUUCGGAUUGUAAACUCCUGUCGUUAGGGACGAUAAUGACGGUACCUAACAAGAAAGCACCGGCUAACUACGUG